AAUCACCAUCGAUGCGAGGUAUUAGAGCACCACCCGGACCGUUCACCCCAUAGCCGCCUGCCUUAUCGCUGUGGGUGAAAAGUUGAAUCACAGGCUAACAUAGGUGGGUGUGCUGAUGCAGUAGUGCAUUCUGAAUGUGGUGAAAUGAGGGAAGAAGAUGAUGGAGAAUUGUGACUGGAAUAUCUUUUCUAAGAUGACAAGUGUUAAAUGUUAUUACUUUUUUAAAUAAAUCUAUCUCCCUUAUCUAUCCAUCUAUCGACACAACAGAUAUACAGCCAGACUGUAUUCAGAUUGGGAAUCUCUUCAGCAAAUAAGUAGGGCUUUUCGAAUCUCUAUAUUUAUUGGUUAGUAGUACGGGAUAUCUAUAAGUCGAAUAUUUUUUGAAGCUAUAUAUGUUAAUAAAAUAUUUUUAUAAUUUUUCUAUAACAACAACAAAUAAAAAUAUGUAAUUUUUUUUUAAUAAAAUAAAUCAUAUUUAUAUUUUUUUUAAACUAAAUUAGAUUUCUACUAAAUGUAAAAUAGAAAGUAGGCAGAAAAAUC